CAUAUCAAAAGCGGAGGAAAAGAAACCAACAGGGAUUGCCUCAGUAGCGGCGAGUGAAGCGGCAAGAGCUCAGAUUUGAAAUCGUGCUUUGCGGCACGAGUUGUAGAUUGCAGGUUGGAGUCUGUGUGGAAGGCGGUGUCCAAGUCCCUUGGAACAGGGCGCCCAGGAGGGUGAGAGCCCCGUGGGAUGCCGGCGGAAGCAGUGAGGCCCUUCUGACGAGUCGAGUUGUUUGGGAAUGCAGCUCCAAGCGGGUGGUAAAUUCCAUCUAAGGCUAAAUACUGGCGAGAGACCGAUAGCGAACAAGUACUGUGAAGGAAAGAUGAAAAGCACUUUGAAAAGAGAGUGAAACAGCACGUGAAAUUGUUGAAAGGGAAGGGUAUUGCGCCCGACAUGGGGAUUGCGCACCGCUGCCUCUCGUGGGCGGCGCUCUGGGCUUUCCCUGGGCCAGCAUCGGUUCUUGCUGCAGGAGAAGGGGUUCUGGAACGUGGCUCUUCGGAGUGUUAUAGCCAGGGCCAGAUGCUGCGUGCGGGGACCGAGGACUGCGGCCGUGUAGGUCACGGAUGCUGGCAGAACGGCGCAACACCGCCCGUCUUGAAACACGGA
rnacentral:rRNA from 1 species